CUGCAGAUCUGUUAAUCUUUCAUAUGCGACUAGUCGACUACCCUCAUUUGCGACUCACGAUACAUCUACCCUCGUCAUUCAUCGAUCUGGAUUAAUUUGAUUAGUAAUAGCGUGGUAUACUGAUCGAGGGUGGAUGUAUGAAAAGACCGAUAGUAAUGGAUUUCUUAAUUCUAAAUAUUGUGACAAUGUCGAAUUGUUUUUGGACUUCGCAUUUUCUAAAGAAGAAGUGGUUGAUACGUGGGUGAAUAUGCAUGGUGAGACAACACGUAACAUAAAAUGUCCUUGUUAUAAAUGCCAAAAUAUAAGUUACAGAGACAGAGCCACUGUACAAAAACACUUGUUUAAGGAUGGUUUCAUGCUUCGUUAUGAAAUAUGGAGUGAACAUGGUGAAAAGUCCAGCCACGAUUUUGGACAGUCUUCUACUACAAUGGAGAUUGAUGAUGAUGAUGGUUGCAAACGUAUGGUGUUAGAUAACUUGUGUUCAUGCGAUUAUACUUCAAGUACAUUGGAAGGACGUGUACCGAAUCCAGAAGCAAAAAGAUUCUAUGACAUGUUAGAAGCUGCUGAUGAACCUUUGUGGGAGGGCGAAAAGGCUACAAGUUUUUCAAAGUUACAAGCUGCUACGAAUUUUUUGACAUGGAAAUCACUUUUCAAUGUGUCAACUGCAGCUUACAACUUUUAACAUUUCCAUGAUUAAUGCAAUGUUGCCCGAAAAUAAUAAACUUCCAAAAAACUUUUAUGAUACGAAGAAGAGUUUAGAACCAUUGAGUCUUCCAUACGAGAGAAUUGAUGUUUGCAAAAACCAUUGCAUGAUAUUCUAUAAGCAAGACAAGGCAUUGACACAUUGUAAAUAUUGUAAGGAAUCUCGUUACAAAAGUGUCUUGAAUAAGGUACCUAAUUUGGUGAUGUGGUACAUGCCAAUUGGUCCUAGACUUAAAAGGUUAUAUAUGUCUACAAAAAACGGCCAAAGAUAUGAGUUGGCACCAUGACCACAAAACAAAAGAGGGUAGCAUGGCACAUCCUAGUGACGGCAUGGCUUGGAAGCAUUUUGACUCGGAGAAUCCUGACUUUGCAAAAGAGAUUCGCAAUGUUCGUCUUGGGUUAUGCACUGACGGUUUCAAUCCAAAUAACUCUAACUCAAUUCCUUACUCAUUGUGGCCCGUCUUUCUUACAAUCUAUAACUUACCCCCUUGGAUGAGUAUGAAAGAUUCGUUUGUUGAAGUAAGUUUGAUUAUUCCGGGUGGAAAGAGUCCAGGUCAGAACAUCGAUAUGUUUCUAAGACCCUUAAUAGAUGAGUUGAAAGAGUUGUAUGGAGAAGGCAUUGAAGUUUAUGAUGCUUAUCGUAAAGAAAAUUUCAUUAUGAGAGUUAUUCUUUUGUGGACAGUUAGUGAUUUUCCUGCCUAUGCAAUGUUAUCAGGCUGGAGUACGCAUGGUCGUUUAGCUUGCCCAUAUUGUAUGGGGGACACAAAUGCUUUUUGGUUACAUGCUGGGGGUAAAACUAGUUGGUUCGACUGUCAUCGAAGGUUUCUACCAAUGUCACAUCCUUUUCGUACUGAUAUAGAUGGAUUUCGGAGAUCAACAUCGUCGUUAGUGGGACCUCCACCCGAGUUAACCGGUUGGGAAAUCUUAGAACAAUUUUCUAACAUACCAGUUGUUUAUGAAGGUGUAACGCACCCAAAGCAUAAAGAUCCAAAAUUUGGUAAAACUCAUAAUUGGGUAAAGAAAAGCAUUUUCUGGGAGCUUGAAUAUUGGCCCAUGUUGUUAAUUCGACACAACCUUGAUGUAAUGCAUAUCGAGACAAACGUUUUUGAGAAUCCAUUUCAAAUGGUUAUGGAUACUUCUAAAACAAAAGAUAAUGUCAAGGCAAGGAAGGAUGUGGAACAGUUUUGCAAUCGACCAUCGUUGCAUGUUUCAAGUGGAAAUAAUAAUAAAAUUUUAAAACCAAAAGCAGCAUACACCUUAACCAAAAAGGAGCAUACACCUUAACCAAAAAGGAGGUAAAUGAAGUAUGUAAAUGGUUGAAGCAAGUAAAGUUCCCAGACGGCUAUGCUUCAAAUAUAGGGGGAUGUGUGAACCUAAAGGAUGAUACCUUCUACAACUUUAAAAGUCAUGAUUAUAGAUGGAGAAUUUAGCAAUCAAAUAACGGCUACGCGGAUUAUUGGAGUAACCUAAAGGGUAUGUGGUCCGGUCCAUGGGAAAGUUGGAAAGAUGUUCCUAAUGAGGACAAAAAGCGGUUGUUUGAACGAUUCCAUUGUUAUUUUCAGUGGGAGGAGAAAUGGAAUGGUGAAAUAUGUAGUUGCUGGGAGCGGUGCAUUGCUGGUAAAAUUCCGGAUUUGUUGUGUAGGGUACAAGAUCAAGCUAAAGAAACGACAAGAAGUAAAAAUGUACUAGUCGAAGACGAUAUGUCUGUUCUUACUGAUUUUAAACCACCAUGGAUCAAAACAGAGACAUGGAAACAAAUGAUUGAGAUCUGGAACACACCCGAAUGGAAAGUGAAGUCUAAAAGAAACAAAAAAAAAUCAGAACUGAAUCAAAAGGGGGCAAACAUACCCUCGGGUCACAAACCUAUGUGACUGCCAAAAGAAAAGUGGCUGAGAUAAUUGGGCGUGAACCGUCACACUCAGAGAUGUGGAAACAAACACAUCUCAGAAAAGGAAGUAGGCCGUUUGAUAAAGAUCUUGAUUGUAGCAGUUCGGUAGUUGAGAACGUUGAUUUUGAGGACGUUAACUUGGAGGGCGUUGAAUUAGAAGGGAAUGUACAAGAAAAAAAUCGGCAUGGGUUGACGAUAGGGCACAUGAGACUUUGUUAAAAUAUGAGGGAUAUCUUUUGGAGAAGUAUGGGGAGGAAAGUAGCCAACACCGAGAACUUGACAAAGAAUUGUGGUAGCGAGCUUCUGGGGGGAAAGAAGAGAGGUAAAGUAUAUGGAUUAAGCAAUCUUAAGAAUGAUUUUAACGUUCAGCAUCAUGGCAAACAAGACCAAGAGAUCGAAAGAUUGAACGUGAUUAUUGCGGGAUUGGAGGUGGAAAAAGAGAAUGAUAAGGCGGAGAAAGAGGCUAUGAAUGAAAGGACGGCAAACAUUGAAACGAUGCUAAAAGCUAGGUUUCAAAACGUAUAAUCAUCGACUUAGGUUUCAAAACGUAUAAACACUUUGUUUUGAAUAUGUAUUUUGUUAUGAUAAUUUUGGUAUUUGAUGUUUCAAGUGGGAUCUUUUAUAUAAUUGUGAAAAUUUGAUAAUAUGUAAAAUUUAAAAUUGACAUUA